rnacentral:rRNA from 1 species
GGAAUGCUGCUCUAAAUGGGAGGUAAAUUUCUUCUAAAGCUAAAUACCGGCCAGAGACCGNNGCGCACAAGUAGAGUGAUCGAAAGAUGAAAAAGCACUUUGGAAAGAGGGUGAAACNGUACGUGAANUGCUGAAAGGGAAGCGCUUGUGNCANNCUCGCGCCCGGCGGAUCAACCCAGCCUCGGCUGGUGCACUCCGCCGGGCCCGGGCCAGCACCGGUCCGGCCCGGGGGAGAAAGGCGGCGGGAACGUGGCCCUUCGGGGUGUUAUAGCCCGCCGCGCAAUGCCCUGGGCGGGACCGAGGCCCGCGCUCUGCAAGGGUGCUGGCGUAAUGGUCAUCAGCGGCCCGUCUUGAAACACGGACCAAGGAGUCGUCCUCGCAUGCGAGUGUUUGGGUGUAAAACCCCGGCGCGUAAUGAAAGUGAACGCAGGUGGGAGCCUCGGCGCACCAUCGACCGAUCCUGAUGUUCUCGGAUGGAUUUGAGUAGGAGCAUGCGGGGCCGGACCCGAAAGAAGGUGAACUAUGCGUGUAUAGGGUGAAGCCAGAGGAAACUCUGGUGGAGGCUCGCAGCGGUUCUGACGUGCAAAUCGAUCGUCAAAUAUGCGCAUGGGGGCGAAAGACUAAUCGAACCUUCUAGUAGCUGGUUUCCGCCGAAGUUUCCCUCAGGAUAGCAGUGUCGAGCUCAGUUUUAUGAGGUAAAGCGAAUGAUUAGGGACUCGGGGGCGCUAUUUAGCCUUCAUCCAUUCUCAAACUUUAAAUAUGUAAGAAGCCCUUGUUACUUAGUUGAACGUGGGCAUUCGAAUGUAUCGACACUAGUGGGCCAUUUUUGGUAAGCAGAACUGGCGAUGCGGGAUGAACCGAACGCGGGGUUAAGGUGCCAGAGUGGACGCUCAUCAGACACCACAAAAGGUGUUAGUACAUCCUGACAGCAGGUAAGCUCCCCUUUGGCCCUCCAGAGUUAACCCCCAGAAUCUUUUGCUAACUAGGUCGCAGGACGGUGGCCAUGGAAGUCGGAAUCCGCUAAGGACUGUGUAACAACUCACCUGCCGAAUGUACUAGCCCUGAAAAUGGAUGGNGCUCAAGCGUCCCACCCAUACCCGCCCCC